GGCGCUGUAGUGUAGCGGUUAUCACUCAAGAUUCUGAUGUUUUCAGCUCUGAGUUCUUGUAACCCCGGUUCGAUUCCGGGCAGUGCCU